rnacentral:rRNA from 1 species
AGUGAACGCUGGCGGCAGGCCUAACACAUGCAAGUCGAACGGCAGCACAAGAGAGCUUGCUCUCUGGGUGGCGAGUGGCGGACGGGUGAGGAAUGCAUCGGAAUCUGCCCAUUUGUGGGGGAUAACCUCGGGAAACCGGGACUAAUACCGCAUACGACCUACGGGUGAAAGCAGGGGAUCUUCGGACCUUGCGCAGAUGGAUGAGCCGAUGCCGGAUUAGCUAGUUGGAGGGGUAAAGGCCCACCAAGGCGACGAUCCGUAGCUGGUCUGAGAGUAUGAUCAGCCACACUGGGACUGAGACACGGCCCAGACUCCUACGGGAGGCAGCAGUGGGGAAUAUUGGACAAUGGGCGCAAGCCUGAUCCAGCCAUGCCGCGUGUGUGAAGAAGGCCUUCGGGUUGUAAAGCACUUUUGUUGGGAAAGAAAAGCAGCCGGUUAAUACCCGGUUGUCAUGACGGUACCCAAAGAAUAAGCACCGGCUAACUUCGUG